rnacentral:rRNA from 1 species
ACCAGCCAAGUAGCGUGCAGGAUGACUGCCCUAUGGGUUGUAAACUGCUUUUAUGUGGGAAUAAAAUCAGCCACGUGUGGUUGUUGGCACGUACCAUCUGAAUAAGGACCGGCUAAUUCCGUGCCAGCGAGCCGCGGUAAUA